GAGACACGGUCUCCCUAUGUUGCCUAGGCUAGUGUCUUAUUUCUGGGCUCAAGCGAUCCUCCCGCCUCAGCCUCCCAGAGAGUUGGUAUUAUAGGCAUGAGCCACUGUGCUGGCUUGCACCUAGAUUCUUAAAGAGAACAUUACUAGAACAUUACCGGAAGCCCCUUGUGCACUGUCCCCUGUGGGCCACUUCUCCCACCCCAUUCCUGUCUUUUAAUACUAGAGAUCAGUUGUGCUUGUUUUUGAAAUUUAUGUGAGUGGAGUAUACUAUGUAUACAGUACACAGUAAAUACUGUAUGUACCACUGCCUAUAUACAGUAUACUCCACAGUGAGUGAAACAAGCCAGACUCAGAAGCAUACAUACUGUAUGUACCACUUUGCUUAGUAGCCACAGUGUAUGCACCAUGGUACAUGCAUAUACUUCUGAAUCUGGCUUGUUUCACUCAUGGUUAGGUGUGCAGGAUUCAUCCAUGUUGUUGUGUGCAGUUCUUGCUUAUUUUACCAGUCUGUCUUAUCCUGAGAAUAUCUUUGACAUUCAACUCUGCAUGCAGACCCUUCCUUACACGUUCUAGAGAGAGGACCUGUCUUCACCCUGUGUUUAUUACCCACAUACUUGAACAGCUGUUUCCUCCAGGCAUCAUUAUGCAAAAGGAAUGAAACCCGGUGUGUGCAGCUUUUUUAGAGGACGUAAAAGGAGUCAGCUCUUGCCUCUCAUCAAUAGUAUUGUUUAUCAGUCAUUUCUCUUUUGAGGCAUUGGUUGAAUAAAUGGGAAAAUUCCUGCUUUCAAGGAACUUAGCAGACUUGUUGACAGAUAAGACCAUAAGAAGAAAGCCAGUGAAGUACCCAGUGAUGUGAACGCCAUGGUAUGAGCAAGUACAUAAUAGAGACCACAAGUGCUUUUUAGAAGUUAGAGAUAGUCAUUCUCUGGGGCUUCCUCAGGAAAAUCCUCGCUGAAUCUGGGAUCUAAACUGGGCCUUAUGAUUCUUGGAUAUAAGGUUUGUUGUAUAGGUUGAUACAAGUUACUUAUUAAUAGUUGUUUGCCCCCCUCCCUUUCACUAUCUUUAGGUGAUGAUGUCCACACCUUUCCACAUCUCCUCAGGAGCUGGUGAUUCCCAGAUACUAUUUGUUAACCUGCAUCACCACUCCCAUGCACACGAACACAGGACAAACAAAUCCAGCUGCUUCCUGGCAUCUCUACUUGAACAACUUAAAGGCAAUUCAGAUCCCACAGGGUGAAAAGCUGAAUUCAUCUAUCAGAGUGUUUUCUAAAAUCCCAAGUAGAUUAUGUCCCAUUCCUGCUUAAAAUGAUCUCCUGAUUCUCAUUGCCUUUUGGAUAAAAUCCAAUCCUGAGUAUCAACAAGGGGCUUGUGAUUUGGUCCUUUUCUGUGUCAUUCUUUAGAAUUUCUGGAAGCAGCCUAUCAUCGCUCCGUCUGCCCUCCAUACACAGCGUUUGUGUGUGUUAUGCCAAACUGCUUGGUGUUUUCCAACCGUGGACCAUGAUAUCUCACUUCCUUAACCUUACCUUCAUAUGCUUUUCCUUUGUGUCUUCUUCUGAAAUGCUUCUUCCUUUUGUCCAGGCUGACUCCUGUUUGUCUGAGACUUGUGUCUCAGGAAGCCUUUCCGUUCCCCUCCAGUCAUUCAUACCUCUGUCAUAACACAUAGACUGUAUUUUUAAUUUGAUUUCCAAUCUGUCUCUUUUAGGUUGUCACCUUUUUUGAGGGCAAGACCUUUUUGUUUCAUGGCUUUAGUUUGCUGUGUUUGUUACAGUGCCUGGCAUUUGGUAGGGGUUGAGUAAAUGUAUACAGAAUAAAUGAAGCCUGGGAGAAGGAGUUCCAGUUAAGAGUUCUAAUAAAUAACUGUUUUUUCAAAAUCUUGGGGCUUUCAUCUUGUGUGUUGAAUGUUACUGGAUUAGGGGAAAGUUGUCUUUAUGAAGUGGGCCCUUUAAACUAGUAUUCCUGUUUUUCUGUUAUAGUUCCCUACUCCCCGCCCCACACCCCCUCUAAAAAAAAAGUACUAGAAGUUACACACAGAACUGUAGCCUUGGAGGCUGUAGGCAGUGCAUUUAAAGUACUUCUGGAGUGGUUUUGAGCUUCAGAGCAUUGACACACUUCCCUAAAUAACUGUGACAAUUCUUUCUAUUUGCUGUUGCCCAUCGGUGAUUUCAGUGGCCAGUAGUCAUACUGGAAAGUCUGAUAAUAAAGCAGGGGAUCAGUCAUGUGGUACCAAACCAGUUGUGGGGAAUGUUAGAUGUGUUAAGAUGUGAUUAGCAACGACAUUCCUGUUUGUAAACUGGCAUCUAUGGCGGUUUAAAAAUGGUGGCAAAACCAUUUUGAGUAUUGUUGGAAAUGUUAUCUGUUCUGCCGUGUUAAUAUACCUAUAAGUUGGUAGUUGCAUCUUGUACCCUUGAUAGUCAUACUUUGUACAUUGUGUAUGCCACUCUUCUGUUGAGUAAUUUGGAUUAAUUACUUUGGAGAUUGAAGUCUUGACUCAUUCACUUCACUCAUUUAUUUAGCUGUAUUUUCAGUUCCAUGCAAUGAGUGACACAGACUGUGCUGCCAAAAAGGAAUUCUCAGUAAGGGCAAUGCACAUAAAUUACUGUGUUACUCAGAAAUCAUGAAUAGUUGAGAUCACAAGCGGAGAGAUGGAACCAGGUCUUAUAAUCAGUAAACCAAUAUUCCAGUAAAAAGCCUGCAAAGAAUGCAAAUAAGUAAUAAAAUAACUACAAAUUAAGUCAGUAAAUAUGAGAAAUGUAUAGCCUACCCAUUACUCAAAGGAAUACAAAUGUAUGUGUGGAUGAGUCAGUAUCACUUUUAUAGUUGGAAGAAAGCAGUUUUCCUAAUAGGAAAUUUUUAGAAUUAAUCUGGUUUGGAAUAUUUAAGUGACAAUGUGUUUUUACAUUAAGGGAUUAAAAUUUUUAUCAGGCACACUACUAACUUAGUAUUAAAACAGCUGUUAAGAUUGGAAAGUAUCUGAAUGUAUUCUUUAAAAUAUAUUGUAUUUGUAAAUUUAAAAUUGUUUCGUACUCUUCAUAUAUAAGACAUUUUGUGUGAUGUUCUAAAUCAGUGCUAUCCAAAAGAAAUAUAUUGUAAGCCACAUGUAAUUUUAACUUUCUAGUAGUCACAGGAAGAAAGUAAAUUAAGCAGGUGAAAUUAAUUUUAAGAAUAUGUUUUAUCGAACCAAUUAUAUCCAGAAUGUUUUUUUUAACAUGUAACCAGUAUUACAGUGAGAUAGUUUACAUUCUUUUUUUCAAAGACAGUCUUCAAAAUCUAGUGUACAUUUUAGGGUUACAGCAAAGUUUAGUUCAGACUAACCACAUUUCAAGUGCUCAGUAGCCACCUUUGGCUAGUGGGUACCAUAUUGAAGAAGAGGAUGAGUAGUUGGGAGUGAGGGCUUUGAUGUCAGACCCAAGUUUGAGUAACAGCAGCUCUGCCAUUUGCUCACCUUGUGACCUUGGGUAUGUUACAUGAACUUGUGCUUUUGUUUUUCAUUUAUAAGAUUUUGUUUUCACUGUAUGCGUUGCUGGCUUUAUUUCCAGUUUCUUCUCUAGUUAAAAUAUGGAGGAAGUCACAGGACAUCCAGUUUGUUCUUGGGUACUAUGGGACAAAAUAUAUGACAGUAAACUAUCAGCUCAUCUUGGCAAGUACUUUUGGUGUGGACCACUGAAGCAUAUUUGUAGGAAGGGAGUUACAUUUUGGUGCUCAGGAUGGGAGUGAUGAUAGUUUCAAAGAUUUCUAUUUUGGAAGAGG
rnacentral:lncRNA from 1 species